rnacentral:lncRNA from 1 species
UCGUUGUAAAAAUUCGAGUAAACUGGAAUAUUACAGAUAAAGCCCAUGAGGUAUUAAAGUGAACAUCCACAACUCUCGAAAUCCUGCAAGAUAGAAUGAUUUUGAAUCAGUGAUUAGGUCUUCUCUGACCAAUUCUUGGAAACUACUAACUUUAGCAAUAUUUUGGAAAAUCUAAAGCCUUAGCUUGUGUAUGGUCCAGAUAUCACCAAGCACUCAAGUAUAAAUAAACCUUACAACUCUCUAACAGAAGCUUAAUAACCUCAACUGGAAUUGCAUCUUGACUUAGGAUUUGGGCUGAUUAGUAAUUAAAACUUUAUGUGCUUUUGAAAUUCUUGGCACUCAAGCAUUUGAAAUUAGAUUUUAUAAAAUAAAUUCUUUAGACAGCAGUUUGUGGGCAUCUGAGCUGGAAACCCUCACGAGACAAAACUGGUCCACUAGGACAACCUAGGGGUUUAAAGCCUUAUUGCAUACGGUAAAUGCAAUCGCGAUUCCUGCGAAAGUGAGUUAGCUUUUAUUUUGCUCGAGGACUAGCAAAAUGCAAGUUCGGAGGUGUGACAAGUGCUAAAUUAUACAUAAAUUAUCCUUUUUCUCAUAGUACUUAUCAUAAUUUUAAUACACAUAUUUUGUAAAUUUAACCAUAAAAAAUGUGUUACCUCCACCAUUGUAUUUUAACAAAUUAUCAAAGGUAAUUCAAGUUUGAUUUGAUUAUUUAUUGAUUGAGCCUUAUGUAUGCAGGUCAAGUCUAAUCCAAUUGAAUAAUGCUUAAACCCACACUGCACUUCAUCAAAUUCUUUUCCUUUCUUCACACGUUCACCUUCUCAGCAUACAACCUUCCCAUGCCCACGUCCUCACCUUGUAACAAGAUAACCUAAUCUUCCAUGUCCAAAGAACAAAUCCAAACUCCCCUCAUCCAAACAAGUCCUCCAGCUUAUCUCCCCUUCCUCGUAAUCAACUUUGUCCCAAAGAACAGAGCCAGCAAAGUCCCAGCGUCAUCUCCUCCCAGAUUUCAUCUGCAUCAUCCGCGAUUCAAGGAUCAUCUUCCGAACCAAUCCAUCCGCUUGCAUCCUUAUCCCUUCUUCAAAUCCCAGCAACUGUGACUUUCUCCCAACUGAAUCUCAACAUCUUCAUCUCCCACGAAUAAAAUCAAUCCAUCCGUUCCCAACCUCAAAUCCCAGCAUCUGAGAUCUUCUCAGCCUCCAUCCUUACCCCUUCUUCGGAUUAACUUCAUCGUCCACGGCGUGAUCUCAUGAAAUCCCCAACGUCAAGAUUAGAUCUUUCCCCUGUUUCGGAACAAAUCCCAGCCAAAUCCAAACCCCCCGUGAUUCAACCCAGCAACAGCAUUCAACCAUCUCCGCAUGCAUCCCAUCGUCCCUUCAUCACGGGUCAAGCCAACAAAUGCAUCAUUAUCCCAUGGCAAGCCAUUCCAAGCUUCAACAGCAUCACUCCACUAUUCGGAUGAGAACCAGCAACCACCAGCUUAUUCCAGCAUCCACGGAUGAGCUCAAAUCCCCUGUAUCCGCAACAAUCCCACGCUCAUCCCAUGCGACAUCUUCUUCUUCCGCCAGAAUCCCAGCAAAUCUAAGAGUUUCAGCUUCUUUCGAGUGGCAUCAAACCAUCAUCCAGAUUUGAUCUCCUCCCAGAUCUUCUUUCGGAUUCCUCCCGUCCAAGAUCGGCUUCCACAUCAUCCCGUUCCUUCUGUGUCCAACAAACAAGGCUCUGUUUUGGAACAGAGCUAAGAUCCUCCACGUUGAAGCCGCAUCACCAGCAUUUCGGAUCACAUCCAGCUUCAUCUCGAGCUCCACGGAUCCAUUCAGCCUCAUCCUCUUCUUCGAAUCUCCCAGCUUCAUCUCGUUCACAUUCCAGUCAUACCACAAAAUCCUAGCAACCCCACGAUUCAUCUUCAACUCCUCUGCUUUCGGAUUACCUCUCAACCAUCCAGCCGAGAUCUACUCCGCAUCCUCCCACGAUUGCAGCUUUCCUCCCAACCUUCUCCAAGAUCUUGCUCACAGCAUCAAUCUUCUUCCGAAUCCCCUAUUUCCCGCGUCAUUCCGGAUGAACUCCAUCCAUCUUCCGCAAGAUAUCCUCCCAGCCGCAUCUCAGCCGGAUCACUCACGUCUCUAUCUUCCCAUUCGGAAUAGAGGAGAGAGGGGGAGAUGGCAGCCUAUAAAAGGCCCAGGCAUGAAACGGGGGAGGCAACUUCUUUGGUUUGGUUCCACAUCUCUCCUCAGAGGCCAAGUUCCCAAGAGAAGAGGAAGAAAUAAAAGGAGAGAGAUUAGUUUGGGGGAUUUUGGGAAUGACUUCCCAUAAGAGCUGAGAAGGAGCUAUUUUCAGUGGAGUCUCCAUGAGAAUGAAUGAAUAGAUGGAAGCCCGCUGCUGCGCUGCUGCUGUCACCCACGACUCCAUAGAAGGCUAAUCUUCUCUCCAGAGCUGGAUGCAGCCCUAGCAAAAGGAUAAGGAUUUUGUAUUUUUUUUUAUUCUUGGGGUUGUAUGAACUUAUUGUUUUUAAUGAAUAUCUUCUUUUAUCUCACAUUUAAUUUCUAUGAUUUUAAAUGUGGAGUUUAUACAAUUGUUCUUCAUGAUCACUAAGUAAAUAUAAGAUAGUCCAUGCUUAGGAAAGAUGCAGUGUCCUGCCACAUUAAUUUAGGGUAGGCAUUUCAUGCCAACUGAAGAUGGAUUAUUCUCAAAUUACUUUUAUGAAUUUCUAUUUAAAUGCUUAUUGGGCUUGUAGCCGAUCUGCAUAAUAAUCCAAGAAUGAAAUAAAUUAUAAAUAACCCUUAUUCCUGAGUUAGUGGUGAAUUCCUUGCCCUAGGUUCUCCCAUACUGAUAUCAUUUUAAUUGCAUUUCUUAUUAAAUUCCUUAGUUUAAUAGUCUUCACAAAUUCUCUUUUUCAAAUAUUUUUAAGAAAACAACUGUACCCCAAUUCCUGUGGAUCGAUACCCGUAAUCACUAUCCUACCAGAUACGUGCUAUUGCGUGGUCUUUAAAGUUGACUAUCAAUUUUUGGCGCCGUUGCCGGGGAUUGCUAGCAUAGUUGUUUUUCUUUUCAUAAAAAAAACUUUCAAAAAAAUAUAUUUAAAAUAAAAUAAAAAUAUUUUCUAUUUUUGUUACUUUACUUAUCUUCUUUUUUCUCUCUUACUAAUUUUUGAUUUUUCUUUUGGCAUUAUUUGGUCAGGAAUCGAAGAGAAAAUUUGGGACGAUCAAAAAGGGAACUACUGGAAAAGGAAUGCUGUAGAGGUUUGCCUAAAAAAAUAAAAAAAAUUGCUGAGGAAAUUUUCUUUGGUAACCUCUAAACCUUUCUUAUUUAAAUUGAUUCCUAAUUAGCUUGAAAUUUUGUGGUGAUUGUUUGAUUUUAAUUUCAGCAAAAGUGUGAAUGCACAUACACCAAUUAAUCCGCACAUAGUAAGGGCAAUCACUCCAACAAGAUAAGAACUGGAUUUCAUCACCAGAUUCUUGCCCAAAUUAGGUGAAUCAAUUUUCACAUAGCCAUCAAUUUAAUUAAAGUCAAUUAGAUGUUGGCCCCUAGGGACAUUCGAGCUCAAUAGGACGAAGAUCACCGAAAGUUGCACCAAUUUCACUCUGUGGCUCAGUUGAUGUCUAGGCAAGCUUUGUCCCUAUAAGGGAGACAGUUCAUUUAUUCGAGGCAAGUGGUUUUUAAGUGGAACCUUUGCGAACGCAUUGUGACCCCCCCACUUACCUGGGAGCUUACCUGGUCAACUCAGUUCAUUAGACCGGAUUGGAGGCUUAGGUGCCCUCUUCAAACCAGUUAGGAGCUGUCUAGUGAUUUUAGGACAAAUACAAGGAUUUGAUGUGUUUUUAUUUUAGUGCAUGCUUGACUAUACUUGACCGAUCAGAAGAGUUUUAGUGUAUGCUAGGGUGUCGUUUCAGAUCUCCUGAAUUAGUACAUUUUGAUUCUGAAAUAGAGCGUUCUAUUAGGGCCCUUCGAGCUGAAAUUCGCACCUAGAGAACCAUAGGAUCUACACCACUUAUCGAGAUGGCUGAAGAACAAUCCAAACUGCUAAAGGAGUACUUCACUCCUUCCAUUUAUACUUCUCCAUCUUGUAUUCGACUAUCUGAUACCACUGCUGCUGUACAGUUUGAGAUUAAGUCUAGUGUCAUCCAAAUGCUCUCCUCUUUUUAUAGAUUCAACAAUGAAGACCCAUACAAACAUUUAGAUGAGUUCCUUGAGAUCUGCACCACUGUCAAAAUUCAAAACUUUACUGAUGAUGCUCUGAAACUUAGGCUAUUCCCUUUUUUCCUUAAGGAUAGAGCUAAGCAGUGGCUCCAUUCAUUAGAAGCCAAUUCCAUUCUUUCAUGGGCUCAAAUGCAACAUGAAUUUCUAAAAAAAUAUUUUCCAUAGGAAGAACGAACCAAUUUAGGCGAGCGGUCACGAGCUUCUCCCAAUCUGACGGGAAAGAAUUUUAUGAAACUUGGGAGAAAUUUAGAGAUUUACUUCGAAAAUGCUCCCAUUAUCAAAUACCCAAGUGGCAAUUAGUACAAUGCUUUUAUGACGGGUUGUUUGAACGAAACCGUCAGAUGGUUGAUGCUUCUUGUGGGGGUACUUUCAUGCUUAAAAGUGAACAUGAGGCAUGACAAUUAUUUGAAAAUCUUAAUAAAAAUUUCCUCCACCAUGCCUCCUCUGCUCGUCAAGCACCCCCGAGUUCUCAAAGAAAAGGAACCAUAUAUGAAGUUAGCCAGUCCAUAGGUCUAUCUGACAAAGUAGAUGCACUAUCCCGCAAGUUGGACAAGCUAAUGUCCAGAGAACAGCUUUCAAACUUUUCCCAAGCACAAUUUUGUGCUCUCUGUUCUAGCCCGUCUCACCCUAUUCAUGAAUGUCCUUCAGCAGCUCAAUUCCCUAAAUUUGUGCAAGAACAAGUAAAUGCUGCCCAAACACAAUUCCGACCGGAUAAUGAUCCAUAUUCUACCACUUACAACCCGGGAUGGCGGAAUUAUCCAAACUUUUGUUGGAAGCAGCAAGCUUCGAAUACUGCCCAACCUUACUUCCAAAAUUUUUAAAAUCGUCAGAAUUUUCAAACCCCACAAAAUAUUCAUCCCUACCGUCCCUCGACUCAAUUUCAACACACUCCUGCUCCACCCCAUAGAAACACAGCCUUUGAGGAGAAAGUGUUGACCACCCUUCAAGGUUUGGAAACCAUUACACAAUUGGUGCACUCUCACACACAAUCCAUCGUCAAGCUAGAAUCCCAAAUGGGGCAACUAGCUAAUGCACUGAACAAGCGAGAGGAAGGAAAGCUUCCAAGCCAACCACUAAGUAAUCCUAGGGGACAAUACAUGGCUCAAGAAAAUCAACUAAAUACAAUUCAUCAUGAACAAGCCAAUGCUUUGACUACCCUAAGGAGUGGAUGUGUAGUAGGCAAUAAGAUUGGAGACGAUAACAAUAAGGAAGGUAAAGAAGAGGAUAGAAAUGUGUCAAAUAAAAAUCUAAAACCUUCUUCUUCUUCAUCAGCUAGUCCACCUUCUGCCAAAACUCACAUUCCAAUAGCCCUAUUUUCUGAAGCUCUUAAUUCACCCUCUCCCUUUGGCAAAAAGGGAACUUCACUAGAGGAGAUGAUGGAGGUUUUCAAACAAGUCAAAAUCAACCUUCCGCUUCUUGAUGCUAUUAGACAAGUUCCCUCCUAUGCCAAAUUUCUCAAAGACCUUUGUACCCAAAAGCGAAAAUCUAGGACACGUGCCUAAAAAGGUCUUCCUAACUGAGCAAGUGAGUUCUAUUCUCCAAUACAACACCCCUCCGAAAUUCAAAGAUUCUGGUGCUCCCACCAUCUCCUGUGUCUUAGGAAAUAAUUUCAUCGAUCGAGCACUUUUAGAUCUUGGGGCAAGUGUCAACCUUUUACCUUACUCAGUUUAUGAGAAACUUGGGUUAGGUGAGUUAAAACCAACCUCGAUAUCGCUUCAAUUGGCUGAUCGAUCUGUAAAAACACCACGUGGGAUAAUUGAAGAUGUUCUUGUCAAGGUAGACAAAUUCUAUUUUUCAGUAGAUUUUAUCGUCCUAGUUAUGGAACAUGAGCCUAAUCCUAAGAAACAAAUCCCCGUGAUCCUUGGGCGCCCCUUUUUAGCAACAGCCAAUGCGUGCAUCAAUUGUAGAACGGGGGUAAUGAACAUAUCAUUUGGGAACAUGAAGGUAAAAUUAAAUGUGUUCAAUACGGAAGAUCAACCCGCGAGGAAAGUUGAGUGCUUCCUAAUAGACAAAAUGGAUGAUCUUGUAGAAGAAGCACUUCCCUAUAUUUUGGCAGAUGACCCUCUGAAAACAUGCUUGGCCCAUUUUGACUUUGAUAUAGACAAGGCCAUAGAAGCAGUCAACUUCUUGCCCGACAAUCAGUUUCCUACAAAUUUUCUUCCUUGGAAAACUCGGCAUGAGCUCGGUAUGAUAUAAUUAAGGAUGCACUGCGUCUGGCUGAAGACGUUAAGCUUAGCGUUUGUUGGGAGGCAACCCAAUUUUCAUAGAUUAUUUUUGCACAUUUUCUUGUCGUAUUUUUUCAGGAGUCCUCAUAUUACUGAUGCAACUAAGGUACAAUGCUUCUAUCCUCCAUAUGCAUCAUAUUUUCAUCCAAAAUAAAAUAACAAAAAAUAAAAAAAUUAUAUAUAAUAUAAUAAUAAAAAAAACAUUGAGGAUAAUGUCUGAUCUAGGUUGGGGGGUAUAGGAUUCGAAAUUUUGAAGAAUUUUUUGCAUUUUUGAAUAAAUUUUUCAUUCAAAAAAUAAAUAAAUAAAUAAAUAAAACCUAAUUUCUAUGCUUUAGUGCUGAAAUAAUAAACACACAAAGUAUAUAAAAUCUAAAAAGCCCAAUAACUAGUCAGAAGUUAGUCAAUUUGAGUUCUUAAAAAUUCUUUUAGCGAGUUGUAAGAUAAUUUUUACUUUGGAAUUUCACAACACACAUGGCCUGCACUUCUAAGGGUUAGGUUCAACAUUAUGUUGUUAAGUCUAGUAGCAACCUUGAGUCCUGAUGAAUUAUUUCUAUCUAAUUCACUAUUAUCCCAUAUUUAUAUAUAUAUAAAAAAAUUGAAUUUAGUUAGGUACAUCGAAAAAGACUACCUAUUGUCAAAGGUCAGCGGGCUUGUAUGAGGAACCCGAGCAUAGGUCCGUAGGGGAGUCUUGAUGCCCAACACCUUACGCCAUCUGGUGUAGGAGUGUUGACUGAAUGCUCGCUAUAUGGAGGAAUCAUUAUAAGAGUAAAAGUGCGUAAUUUAUAAAUCCAAAAUAAAAAAAGAGAAAAAGAAAAAAAUAAAAUUGAUCUUGAAAAAGACGAUAGUGUGAAAGUCGUCGUUGUAAAAAUUCGAGUAAACUGGAAUAUUACAGAUUACGCCCAUGAGGUAUUAAAGUGAACAUUCACAACUCUCGAAAUCCUACAAGAUAGGAUGAUUUUGAAUCAGUGAUUAGGUCUUAUCUGACCAAUUCUUGGAAACUACUAACUUUAGCAAUAUUUUGGAAAAUCUAAGGCCUUAGCUUGUGUAUGAUCCAGAUAUCACCAAGCACCCAAGUAUAAAUAAACCUUACAACUCUCUAACAGAAGCUUAAUAACCUCAACUGGAAUUGCAUCUUGACCUAGGAUUUGGGCUGAUUAGUAAUUAAAACUUUAUGUGCUUUUGAAAUUCUUGGCACUCAAGCAUUUAAAAUUAGAUUUUAUAAAAUAAAUUCUUUAGACAACAAUUUGUGGGUAUUUGAGCCGGAAAUCCUCACGAGACAAAAUUCGUCCACUAGGGCAACCUAGGGGUUUAAAUCCUUAUUGCAUACGGUAAAUGCAAUCGCGAUUCCUGCGAAAGUGAGUUAGCUUUUAUUUUGCUCGAGGACUAGCAAAAUGCAGGUUCGGAGGUGUCAUAAAUGCUAAAUAAUACAUAAAUUACCCUUUUUAUCAUAGUACUUAUCAUAAUUUUAAUACACAUAUUUUGUAAAUUUAACCAUAAAAAAUGUGUUACCUCCACCAUUGCAUUUUAAUAAAUCAUCAAAGGUAAUUCAAGUUUGAUUUGAUUAUUUAUUGAUUGAGCUUUAUGUAUGCAGGUCAAGUCUAAUCCAAUUGAAUAAUGCUUAAACCCACAUUGCACUUCAUCAAAUUCUUUUUCUUUCUUCACACGUUCACCUUCUCAGCAUACAGCCUUCCCAUGCCCACGUCCUCACCUUGUAACAAGAUAACCUAAUCUUCCAUGUCCAAAGAACAAAUCCAAACUCCCCUCAUCCAAACAAGUCCCCCAGCUUAUCUCCCCUUCCUCGUAAUCAACUUUGUCCCAAAGAACAGAGCCAGCAAAGUCCCAGCGUCAUCUCCUCCCAGAUUUCAUCUGCAUCGUUCGCGAUUCAAGGAUCAUCUUCCGAACCAAUCCAUCCGCUUGCAUCCUUAUCCCUUCUUGAAAUCCCAGCAACCGUGACUUUCUCCCAGCUGAAUCUCAACAUCUUCAUCUCCCACGAAUAAAACCAAUCCAUCCGUUCCCAACCUCAAAUCCUAGCAUCUGAGAUCUUCUCAGCCUCCAUCGUUACCCCUUCUUCGGAUUAACUUCAUCGUCCACGGCGUGAUCUCAUGAAAUCCCCAACGUCAAGAUUAGAUCUCUCCCCUGUUUCGGAACAAAUCCCAGCCAAAUCCAAACCCCCCGUGAUUCAACCCAACAACAGCAUUCAACCAUCUCCGCGUGCAUCCCAUCACCCCUUCAUCACGGGUCAAGCCAACAAAUGCAUCCUUACCCUAUGGCAAGCCAUUCCAAGGUUCAACAGCAUCACUCCACUGUUCGGAUGAGAACCAGCAACCACCAGCUUAUUCCAGCAUCCACGGAUGAGCUCAAAUCCCCUGCAUCCGCAACAAUCCGACGCUCAUCCCAUGCGACAUCUUCUUCUUCCGCCAGAAUCCCAGCAAAUCUAAGAGUUUUAGCUUCUUCCGAGUGGCAUCAAACCAUCAUCCAGAUUUGAUCUCCUCCCAGAUCUUCUUCCGGAUUCCUCCCGUCCAAGAUCGGCUUCCACAUCAUCCCGUUCCUUCCGUGUCCAACAAACAGGGCUCUGUUUCGGAACAGAGCUAAGAUCCUCCACGUUGAAGCCGCAUCACCAGCAUUUCGGAUCACAUCCAGCUUCAUCCCGAGCUCCACGGAUCCAUUCAGCCUCAUCCUCUUCUCCGAAUCUCCCAGCUUCAUCCCGUUCACAUUCCAGUCAUUCCACAAAAUCCUAGCAACCCCACGAUUCAUCUUCAACUCCUCUGCUUUCGGAUUACCUCUCAACCAUCCAGCCGAGAUCUACUCCGCAUCCUCCCACGAUUGCAGCUUUCCUCCCAACCUUCUCCAAGAUCUUGCUCACAGCAUCAAUCUUCUUCCGAAUCCCCUAUUUCCCGCGUCAUUCCGGAUGAACUCCAUCCAUCUUCCGCAAGAUAUCCUCCCAGCCGCAUCUCAGCCGGAUCACUCACGUCUCUAUCUUCCCAUUCGGAAUAGAGGAGAGAGGGGGAGAUGGCAGCCUAUAAAAGGCCCAGGCAUGAAACGGGGGAGGCAACUUCUUUGGUUUGGUUCCACAUCUCUCCUCAGAGGCCAAGUUCCCAAGAGAAGAGGAAGAAAUAAAAGGAGAGAGAUUAGUUUGGGGGAUUUUGGGAAUGACUUCCCAUAAGAGCUGAGAAGGAGCUAUUUUCAGUGGAGUCUCCAUGAGAAUGAAUGAAUAGAUGGAAGCCCGCUGCUGCGCUGCUGCUGUCACCCACGACUCCAUAGAAGGCUAAUCUUCUCUCCAGAGCUGGAUGCAGCCCUAGCAAAAGGAUAAGGAUUUUGUAUUUUUUUUUAUUCUUGGGGUUGUAUGAACUUAUUGUUUUUAAUGAAUAUCUUCUUUUAUCUCACAUUUAAUUUCUAUGAUUUUAAAUGUGGAGUUUAUACAAUUGUUCUUCAUGAUCACUAAGUAAAUAUAAGAUAGUCCAUGCUUAGGAAAGAUGCAGUGUCCUGCCACAUUAAUUUAGGGUAGGCAUUUCAUGCCAACUGAAGAUGGAUUAUUCUCAAAUUACUUUUAUGAAUUUCUA